rnacentral:rRNA from 1 species
GACGAACGCUGGCGGCGUGCUUAACACAUGCAAGUCGAACGGAAAGGCCCUGCUUUUGUGGGGUGCUCGAGUGGCGAACGGGUGAGUAACACGUGAGUAACCUGCCCUUGACUUUGGGAUAACUUCAGGAAACUGGGGCUAAUACCGGAUAGGAGCUCCUGCUGCAUGGUGGGGGUUGGAAAGUGUCGGCGGUUGGGGAUGGACUCGCGGCUUAUCAGCUUGUUGGUGGGGUAGUGGCUUACCAAGGCUUUGACGGGUAGCCGGCCUGAGAGGGUGAACGGCGACAUGGGGACUGAGAUACGGCGCAGACUCCUACGGGAGGCAGCAGUGGGGAAUAUUGCACAAUGGGGGGAAGCCUGAUGCAGAAACGCCGCGUGCGGGAUGACGGCCUUCGGGUUGUAAACCGAUGUCGCCUGUGACGAAGCGUGAGUGACGGUAAUGGGUAAAGAAGCACCGGCUAACUACGUG